CUGUCUUCUUCCUUGCAGCUUCUCCACCCACCCCUGACUAAAACCUGGCCGGCAGGCAUUCUCAUAGCCAGAGUCAACCUCAACUCACCAUGGCACAGGAAAAAUAAUCAUCGCACUGCAGAACAAGAAAUGACCUAAGCCAGCAUUGUCAUCUUUGAAACUUAAGAGAAUUUGUAAAACGGUGAAAUUCAGAAUGAACUUAGAAGGCAUUUUCAGCUGCACAUCUGCUAGUCUGGUGUGUGGCAUCACUAAGUCUAUUGGUUUAAAUGGGUGCGUAGUUCCGGAGUAUCACAACUACAACAUCGGAUUUGGAAGCAAUUUUGGAAAUAUUUGAUGAUGCAUAUUUGAAAGAGUUAAUAUUUGUACGAAAAUGUCACAAAUUUAGUAUUUUUAUGACAUUUUGUAAAACAGUGAGACUUCAGACAUAUUUUUAAAAAUCUGUUUUGGAUUAAUAUCUGAUCAAUACUGAGAAGAUAAAAAUGAACGAGAUAAUUAAGUAAAAUACAGUAUAAUAAAGAUUUUGGAGAAGUGUUAAAUUCUGCAA
rnacentral:lncRNA from 1 species